rnacentral:ncRNA from 2 species
UGGCACCGCGCGGGAGAGCGUUUCCUGGUCCUUUGAGGGCUGGCCUGAAAAGGGCAGGGAACCGCCGAAGGAGCAACCACCCCGGAAUCUCUCAGGCACCAGAGACCGCGCGGGGCUG